CGCGUAGGCGGGUAUUUAAGUCAGAUGUGAAAACUCUGGGCUCAACCUGGAGACUGCAUUUGAAACUGAAUAUCUUGAGGGCAGGAGAGGAAAGUGGAAUUCCUAGUGUAGCGGUGAAAUGCGUAGAUAUUAGGAGGAACACCAGUGGCGAAGGCGACUUUCUGGACUGUACCUGACGCUGAGGCGCGAAAGCGUGGGGAGCGAACG
rnacentral:rRNA from 1 species